rnacentral:lncRNA from 1 species
UGGUGUGACUUAUUAAUUUGAUACCCCAAUAAUUGUUGCAGUACUGAAUGUCCCCUUUGUUCUUGUACAAGGGCACCACUGUACUCCAUCUCCACUCAUCCGGCAUCCUUUUGGUCCUGAAGAUCGCAUUGAACAACCUGGAUAGCCACUCCCCCCAGACUUACCCAUGCACUUCCAGAACUCCACUGGGAUCUCGUCCGGCCCGGUCGCUCGACCCCUAC